UUAUAAUUAAAAUAAUUUUUUUUUUAUAAAAUACUAAAACAAAUCUUUAUAUAAUUAUUUUUAAUAAAUAAAAAUUUUAAAAUUAAUAAAUUAAUAAAUAAAAUAUAAUCAAUCUAUAUUGAUUUGCACAAAAAUCUUUUCAAUGUAAAUGAAAUGCUUUACUUUAUAAGCUUUAAAUUGCAUUCUAGAUACUCUUUCCAGUACAUCUACUAUGUUACGACUUAUCUUACCUUAAUAAUAAGAGCGACGGGCGAUGUGUACAUAUUUUAGAGCUAAAAUCAAAUUAUUAGUCUUUAUAAUUUUACUAUCAAAUCCACCUUCGAUAAAUAUUUCAAAUUUAUAUCCAUAUAAAUAAAUUUAUUGUAAUUCAUUUCUACUUAAACAUAAGCUACACCUUGAUCUGAUAUAUUUUCUUUUAAAAAAUUAUGAAAAUUAACAUUCUCAUAAAAUAUUCUAAUAACGACGGUAUAUAAACUGAUUACAAAUUUAAGUAAGGUCCAUCGUGGAUUAUCGAUUAUAGAACAAAUUCCUCUGAAUAGACUAAAAUACCGCCAAAUUUUUUAAGUUUCAAGAACAUAACUA
rnacentral:rRNA from 1 species